GCCUGACUGGCUCAAUCAGUGGAGCAUGUGACUCUUGAUCUUGGGAUUGUGAGUUCGAGCCCCAUGUUGGGUA
rnacentral:tRNA from 1 species